CUUCCUAUAAUCGCAUCGAUAAAGAAUUUUAGGUUACUAAAUAGCGGGUAUCUUGCAGUCGCAAUAUCUUCUGUACUAUUCUCUUUAGUUUGUUUUGCUUUCGACUUUUAUUUCGGCCUUCUUUUUGGCUGCGGAAUGAAUUCAUUUCAUGCACUUUGCUGUGGGGCUAUGGGCGAUGCUUAUUAGUUGCAAUUUGCCUGCUGUGGCCAAAGUUUGCUCGCCAAAAACCAAACCAAAACCGAAAAAACCCAAACCAAAUAAAUUAAAUAAUUGCUGGCCGAAGAAGUUGAUAGGAUGGGAAAAAAUAAGGGCGGCGGCGGUGGUGGUGGAGCAGGAGGUGGAGGCGGCGGCAAUGUAAGCAAUAUUUGUGUUAUGCAACAUGCGUAUUAAUUAAAAAAGGCGGCGGCGCUGGCGGUGGUAGUGCAGGAGGAGCCGCAGCAGCCGCUGGAGCUGCUGGAAAUAAAAACAAAGGCGGUGGGGCUGGCGGUGACAAAGGUGGAGCCAAGAAAGGAGCAGACCAAAAGCCACCCCCAGGCGCUGGCAAGAAAGGAGGCAAGAAAUAGCAGUAGCCCCAAUGCCAAUGUGGCAACAUCAAAGCGCAUUAUAAAAUACAAAUUUAGAAUUAAGUUGAAAUUAAAAGGAUAUCAGGGAAUAUACUAUAUAUGUACAUAUGUAUCUAUAAUGUAUGUAUGUAUAAAUCGCUCUUACAAAUAGCAGAA